GGGCCUGGUGUAGGGUUAUGAUACAUAUGAACAACAUAAAUCAUGCGGAAAAACCUCUAUGCCAGGAUUCAAAUUAAUUGCACAUAAUCAAGUAAUUAGUCUAGAAUGCAUACACUUUGUAGCGUGCCCUCCCAAGCUGCGCCCGAACCGAACAAGAACAAGUCUUUAGGACUCCAAGUGUCGUACCUCCGUAGAAAGUCCACAAAACGUCCAGAUCCGCCUUAAGAUUGACCAACUAGAAUCGCCCUUAAGGUACUAGGAAUUUUCGGCUAAUAUGGGCAACAAUAUGACUGAAUUUUGCUCUCAAAAUGUCACUCUGAAUACUUAAAAAACUAGUCCAUAAAUUGUGAACCUAGGCACAUAUUUAUAGGGGUAUGGAAAGGGAAUUGGAAUCCUAUUAGGAUACUAAUUAGCUUAAUUAGAAUUUGAUUAAAAACUCUUUUAAACUAAUUCUAUCUAUUAGGAUUAGGAAUUAAUCAUUGAACGAAUCCCAUUAGAUUUAGGAUUUGUAUCGAACACAAACGUACACGCACACCCUUGCGAGCGCUCAACCCACGCAGGCCUUGCGGCCCACAUGUGCCUCGCAGCCCACGCGAGCGCAGCUCGCUGCCCCAUUGCGCGCGCGCCUUGGCCUGCUAGUCCUGGCCUUGCGCUGGGCCUGGCGUGGCCUUGGCUGUUAGGUUAUGAUACAUAUGACAAUUCAUAAAUCAUGCGGAAAAACCAUAAAGCCAGGAAAGCAUAUUAUUUACACAUAAUCAUUUAGCAUAGAAUAGAUGCAUACAUGUUGUAGCGUGCCUUCCCUAGCUGCGCCCGAACCGAACAAGAACAAGUCUUUAGGACUCCAAAUGUCGUCCCUCCGUAGAUAGUCCACAGUACGUCCGGAUCCGCCUCAAGUUAGACCAACUAGAAUCGCCCUUAAGGUGCUUAGGAAUUUCGGCUAGUGUUUGCAAGUGUAUGGCUGAUUUUUAUUUCAAAAACUUACCCUUUGAAUACUUCAAUCGUACCCAUAAAUUGUGACCCUAGGCACCUAUUUAUAGGAGUAUGGAAAAGGAAUUGUAAUCCUACUAGAAUGUGGAUUUGCUAGUUAGAACUUUAUUAGGACUCUAAAUAACAAAAAAAAAAAAUCUAAUAGGAUUAGGAUUUUAAUCUUUGCACAAAUCCUAAUAGGAUUAGGAUUUCCCGCACAAGCAUUGCACAAGCCGUGCACCCGCGCAAGCCUUGCGGCCCACGACAGGCGCACAGCCCACGCUGCUGUGCUGCGCGCGCGCGCCCUUGGCUGGGCCUGGCCUUGCGCUGGGCCUGGUCGAGGCGUGCGUUGGUGCGUGCGGCUCGCUGGGCGAUGGCCUGGCUUCGUGCUGGGCCUUCGUCUAGCGGGCCUCGUCCGAUGCUAAUACGUACGAUACGCUUCCGAUUAAAUUCCCGAUUCCGGAAUUCAUUUCCGAUACGAACAAUAUUUAAUAUUUCCGAUUCCGGAAUUAAUUUCCGUUUCGAACAAAUAUUUAAUAUUUCCGUUUCCGGAAUUAUUUUCUGAUUCCGAUAAUAUUUCCGAUUCUGACAAUAUUUCCGUUUCCGGCAAUAUUUCCGAUUCCGGCAAUAUUUCCAUUUCCGAUAAUAUUUUCCGAUACGUACCAUGUUUCCGUUUCCGGCAACAUCUACGACUUGAAUAAUAUUUAUAUUUCCGAUACGAUCCAUAUUUCCGUUUCCGGCAAUAUCAUCGUUUCCGGAGUAUUCAUUUCUUGCUUGUGACGAUCUCAGCUCCCACUGAAACCAAGAUCAGUCGAUUCCGAAUAUCCAUAGAUAGAGUAUUUAAUGCCAUUAAAUACUUGAUCCGUUUACGUACUAUUUGUGUGACCCUACGGGUUCAGUCAAGAGUAAGCUGUGGAUUAAUCAUUAAUUCCACUUGAACUGAAGCGGCCUCUAGCUAGGCAUUCAGCUCACUUGAUCUCACUGAAUUAUUAACUUGGUAAUUAAUACUGAACCGCAUUUAUUAGACUUAACUUAGAAUGCAUACUUGGACCAAGGGCAUUAUUUCCUUCAUUGGCUGCGUUGUGUUGGCGCGCAGGCUUGCUGGACGCGGGCCUGGCUUCGUGCUGGGCCUUCGUCCAGCAAGUCUCGUCCGAUGCUAAUUCGUACGACGCGCUUCCGAUUAAUUUCCCGAUUCCGGAAUUCAUUUCCGAUACGAACAAUAUUUAACAUUUCCGAUUCCAAAAUUAUUUUCCGUUUCGAACAAAUAUUUAAUAUUUCCGUUUCCGGAAUUAUUUUCCGAUUCCAAUAAUAUUUCCGAUUCUGACAAUAUUUCCGUUUCCGGCAAUAUUUCAGAUUCCGCCAAUAUUUCCAUUUCCGAUAAUAUUUUCCGAUACGUGCCAUGUUUCCGUUUCCGGCAACAUCUACGACUUGGACAAUAUUUAUAUUUCCGAUACGAUCCAUAUUUCCGUUUCCGGAGUAUUCAUUGUUUGCCUUUGACGAUCUCAGCUCCCAUUGAAACCAAGAUCCACUACUACAAAACCCAUAGGUUGUAGACGCUGUUAGCUCGACGCCCAGGUGUAAGCUUUGGGUGGGAAAUCAAUUCCCGCUUUUUGUCGACGCCUAUAGGCUAUAGUAGUCGAGGAUUUUGUAGACAACAUUUGUCGUCGAUAGGGCACGUGCCUUGCACGUGUACUCAGUUUAGCAGGAAUUUAAUAAGAGCCCAAACUUAUCCAUCGUCCCAAGUGCUCCCUACCCUCGCAAUUCGCAAACUCCUAAAACAGUUUCACCGAAAUUAUUCUCUCUCUUGCCUCACCGUUCUCUUUCUUUCACGCUUCACAAUUGAGAACUGCUAAGAUGAAAAGCUCGAUGAAAAUCUUGAAAAGUUGCAGAUAUGAGAAGGGUCUCUUCUGUUUCAGUUUUUUCUCUUUGGUUUCAGUUUUUCGGUAUGUGUACCGAUUUAUUCAAUUAUUAUUACUAUCUUCUUUCAGAUUUUUAUUUUUCCAUCUUUAGGGUUUUUAUAUGAGGAUUUCAUGUCUAGGCUUUGGCUACCUGGUUAAGAGAGAAAAGUUGAACUUGUUGAGCUGCUCAGGACGAGGUUCUCUUUACUCGAUCCCUUAUUCCAGUGUUCUACUGAACUUAGAUACUUUGAUGAUGUUAGCUUGUUAGGUCUUUAUUCAAGUGCUUUUUUUUUUAUCAAAUAGUGGUUUUUGCAUAAAACUAAAUAUUACUUGCAUUGUGAUGUCAGAUUUAUCUGAUUAAUAUAUGUGGUGGUAGAUUUCCUUAUUGUGAGAUUGUCAAAUUUACUUGUACUCAUCAAUUAAACUUCGUAUAAUCUGGGCAACUCUUGUUUGGUUUCUUAUUCCUGAUGACUUAAGCUCAUGUUCUAUUUUAAGAGGGUUGACAAGUUUAUGGAGGACAUAAAUAGCAUAAGAUGUUUGAGACAGAACAUUUACAAAUCUUCACUACAGUUGGCCUAUUUUGUAAGAUUUUUGUGUCGUCAUAUAAAGACCACUGGACAGAAUAUGCUAAAAGUAGCAGCAUAUUGUAGGUAAUUAAAUGCCUGUUUAAGAAGAGUCUAGUGGCAGCUUCAAGUCAUCCUUGGUACCUCAACUCUCAGUCAGCAGGCUGAUCUAAAAUUUUAUUUGGCUUAGACAGACAACCAAAGAAUAAAAUCUCAAGUCAAGAAAAACCACAUUAGACAUUUUUGUAAUUAAAAAACCAUCAUCAGCUAUGUCAAUGAGUUAAUCACUACGAUUGACAUCGAGAACCUGAAUACCAAAGCUAAAAUAUAUAAAAGUUCAAGGAAAGGACAUAAUGAAGAAGAAGAAAUGAAAAAACCGAUAAGGGGGUGAACAUUACAAUCUAUUCUUAGGAGUAUCCAGAGUUUUUAUAGUGUUGUUUGUAAGACAAGACUUUCUAAGUUGUCAUCAAACUUAAAAACAACUCAUGCCAGCAUAAGAGGUCAAAAACACACCGAAACACAUGAGGUGAUGGUGGAUAACCGAGAAAUUGAUUGUAGCUUAGAGGUAGUGGAUUCACAGGUAUAUUCUAGAAUGAACAUAUAUUUACACGGUGUAGUAAUGGAUGUUGUUUCUACAAGAAACUGAUUAUGGUUUCUUAGCUAUUAUUUAGAAAAUAUGACUUAUUAAGUAUCAUACUUGUUUAUUCUGUACCUUUUAUUUAAAUCAACGAAAAUGAUAAAGGUCGCAACAUGCGACCUUUAAGCCGUGUCACAAUGAUGACAUGGCAUGCUUAUGUGUCAUGAUUUAAAUUGGAAACUAAAAUAUUUAACUUAUAUAAUCUAUCAUAUAUGUUUCAAAAAAAGGUAGGAAAAUCUUAAUAUUAUUAUUCUUUUCCUUCUUUACAUUGAUUACCUUGUUUAAGUAUUUUUAUAGUAAAAAUAUUGAAUUGAUAGUAAAAAUAUUCUAAUGACGCAUAGCCUACGUGGCGCCUAUAUGGCUAUAUGUACCAACUAAACUGCGACACGUAAGAUUGCGACAACUAAAUGUUGUCGCAACUUGCGACCUUUAUCAUCACCCUUAAAUCAAAACCACCUAAUAUGUUGGAUGAUCUAUGUAGCUUGUUUCUUUUCAAAAUGGACAAGUACUACAAAUCUGUUAAGUCUCGUCAUUUUCCCUCAAAAGCUGAGAUUAAUUUCUAAGCAAACUGGUGCAGGAUUAAUGAGAUCAUUUUGGUAUAUCGUGCAUAUGAUUGAGUUUAUGACAAUUGCGUUUCAUACUCGGCAAUUCUGAUGUCAUUUUUCUAUCGAUGUGCUUUUAUGGUCAGAUGUUGGGAUAUUUAUUACUUAAGGUUAUCUAGAUAUAUAAUAUUCUGAUGUCGUGCUUUGCUUCCGUUCAGGUGAGGUGCUUUUUAGUUAGGUGUAUCUGUUGUGAACCAUUUUGGCUUAGUUCUGUUUCUCAUGUACUAUUUCUAAGGAUCAACUUAGUUCUAAUCUCAUGCAGGAUCUGAUCUUCUACCAUGAAGUGAUGAAACCUAAUUUUAGUAUCUCAUCGGAAUUUUUGAAACAUGUAGCGAUGUUCCCUUGGAAUGAAUGCACUGAAAUUCCGAGUAGCAUAAAUGAACAACCAAGUCAAGACCUCUGUUUGCAUUUGGAUUUUGCACAGUUUAUUUUUAUCUAUCGCAGCGGGUUUGUUGCAAUAUAAGUUUUAUGUCCUAUCUCUUUAAUUUUAUGUUCCACUACUUCCAAUGUGAUUGUGGCUCUGGUUUCCAUUGUGCGCUCUAUCAUGUGCAAUGCUUUUUUAGUUUUAUUAUGGUAUGGAGUAUGCUUUAUUAGAAUUUUGUUUGAGUUGUAGUUUGUAUAACAUAUUUAAUGAAAUCAUACACUGCUAGCUUAAAAGUCCAUCUUCCUCUUUUUUAACUUCUUGUUUGUUUUAUCCGUACUAAUUACCUUUUACUUUUAUUGAAGGUCCAAUCUGGUAAUGGAGCUCACAGGAGAACAAAAGUAGAUCGUAAUAUUUAAAUUGCCUCAACUGUUAAGAAGUUGUAUUAGCUUUUUAGAUAUGUACAUGGUUGAUAUGGAGAAGUCUACACUUAUUAGUUUUGCUUUUAUGCUUACUCUACUGUACAAAUGGUUGAUAUGGAUAAAAAAUACAAUAUGGAUUUUGGUUAGUAACAGGUAGGUAUUAUAGAUUUUAAGUACUUGAGUUAAUUUUAAUGUUGAUGAAGACCAAUUUUUAAAAAUUCA